rnacentral:pre_miRNA from 1 species
UUUAGAAUUCCUACGCUUUACCGUAGAAAUUGUUAAUCGGCAAAGCGUUUGGAUUCUGAAAC